GGGCCUUUAGCUCAGUUGGUUAGAGCAACCGGCUCAUAACCGGUAGGUCCCGGGUUCGAACCCCUGAAGGCCCACCA
rnacentral:tRNA from 1 species